rnacentral:rRNA from 1 species
UACAGAGGUCUCAAGCGUUGUUCGGAUUCAUUUGGCGUAAAGGGUGCGUAGGUGGCGCCGUAAGUGGGGUGUGAAAUCUCGGGGCUUAACUCCGAAACUGCAUUCCAUACUGCGGUGCUCGAGGACUGGAGAGGAGACUGGAAUUUACGGUGUAGCAGUGAAAGGCGUAGAGAUCGUAAGGAAGAACAGUGGCGAAGGCGGGUCUCGGGACAGUUCCUGACACUGAGGCACGAAGGUCAGGGGAGCAAACGGG